GGUGGGUGUGGCAACAGUAGCGUGCUGAACUGUCAAGUAAUGUUCGUUUGGCUGCCUGGGGUUCGACCUACUUUUUUUGAGCAAGCAUUGAUUAUGCGUGACACAGUCUCAAUUUGUGGGACGCAUGAAUUUGGCUUUAAACGCUGUGCGCGCACGCGCUACGCGGGACGGGUGGUCACCAUAGACAGUAAAAGAAGUGGUCACCCUAAGUACAACUGUGAAACCAUAUCUGAACAACGGACAGUUGUGUAUUUAUGUGAUGUUAUUUGUACUCCGCAUCACUAGAGGGCGACACACCAUUUAGAAGUGACGAAGGUUACAAGCAAGAUGGCGGCGAUGGGGCGUGUUCUUUCUUUUACUGUCUAUGGUUCUUUAUGUUGGUGGUCUGGCGGAAGAAGUGGACGGGAAAGAUUGUGAGACAGGUGACAAACUGUCAUUGAUAACAUGAAUGAGUCGGAGCUGUUUGGCAGAACCAUCCGAGUGAACAUGGCCAAACAUGAGCCCGACCAGGUCUGCUGUCGAUGGCAAACUCUAGACCCAAUGCUAAUGACUGGCAGUUCUUCAUCACAGCUUAUUUGCUGUUCAAGAAACAUUUAUUUUUAUCAAAGUUUACAACAGUUAUUGAUGUUUUAAAGAUUCUUUGAUAAAUAAAAAAGUCAAAAAUAAUUUUUUUUGAAAUGAGAAUCUUUUUUGAUGCAUUAAAAAAAUUCCGCGCUGUUAUUUUUGAUGAAUUUGAUGCAUUCUUUCUGAAUAAAAUAUUCCCUUUG